CAGCAGCCGCGGUAAUACGUAGGGUGCAAGCGUUGUCCGGAAUUAUUGGGCGUAAAGAGCUCGUAGGCGGUUUGUCGCGUCUGCUGUGAAAUUUCGAGGCUCAACCUCGAACUUGCAGUGGGUACGGGCAGGCUAGAGUGCAGUAGGGGAGAUGGGAAUUCCUGGUGUAGCGGUGGAAUGCGCAGAUAUCAGGAGGAACACCAAUGGCGAAGGCACAUCUCUGGGCUGUAACUGACGCUGAGGAGCGAAAGCGUGGGGAGCGA
rnacentral:rRNA from 12 species